rnacentral:rRNA from 1 species
UACGUAGGGACCAAGCGUUGUUCGGAUUUACUGGGCGUAAAGGGCGCGUAGGCGGCCGGCCAAGUCGGGGGUGAAAGCCUGUGGCUCAACCACAGAAUGGCCCUCGAUACUGGCUGGCUCGAGACCGGAAGAGGUUGGUGGAAUUGCGAGUGUAGAGGUGAAAUUCGUAGAUAUUCGCAAGAACACCGGUGGCGAAGGCGGCCAACUGGUCCGGAUCUGACGCUGAGGCGCGAAAGCGUGGGGAGCAAACAGG